rnacentral:rRNA from 1 species
UGGGGAAUUUUCCGCAAUGGGCGCAAGCCUGACGGAGCAAGACCGCGUGGGGGAUGACUGCCUAAUGGUUGUAAACCCCUUUUCUCUGGGAAGAUGAUGACGGUACCAGAGGAAUCAGCAUCGGCUAACUCCGUGCCAGCAGCCGCGGUAAUACGGAGGAUGCAAGCGUUAUCCGGAAUUAUUGGGCGUAAAGCGUCCGCAGGUGGCACUUCAAGUCUGCUGUCAAAGACCAGAGCUCAACUCUGGGCAGGCGGUGGAAACUGGGGAGCUAGAGUACGGUAGGGGUAGAGGGAAUUUCCAGUGUAGCGGUGAAAUGCGUAGAGAUUGGAAAGAACACCAGUGGCGAAGGCGCUCUACUGGACCUGUACUGACACUAAGGGACGAAAGCUAGGGGAGCGAAAGGGAUUAGAUACCCCCGUAGUCC